rnacentral:rRNA from 1 species
CAUGUCUUGUAAUUGGAAUGAAUAGAAUUCAAAUCCCUUUACGAGUAUCGAUUGGAGGGCAAGUCUGGUGCCAGCAGCCGCGGUAAUUCCAGCUCCAAUAGCGUAUAUUAAAGUUGUUGCGGUUAAAAAGCUCGUAGUUGGAUUUCUGCUGAGGACGACCGGUCCGCCCUCUGGGUGAGUAUCUGGCUCGACCUUGGCAUCUUCUUGAAGAACGUAACUGCACUUGACUGUGUGGUGCGGUAUUCAGGACUUUUACUUUGAGGAAAUUAGAGUGUUUCAAGCAGGCGCAUGCCUUGAAUACAUUAGCAUGGAAUAAUGAGAUAGGACCUUGGUUCUAUUUUGUUGGUUUCUAGAGCUGAGGUAAUGAUUAAUAGGGAUAGUUGGGGGCAUUCGUAUUCCGUUGUCAGAGGUGAAAUUCUUGGAUUUCCGGAAGACGAACUACUGCGAAAGCAUUUGCCAAGGAUGUUUUCAUUAAUCAAGAACGAAAGUUAGGGGAUCAAAGACGAUCAGAUACCGUCCUAGUCUUAACCAUAAACUAUGCCGACUCGGGAUCGGAGGCG